GAUGAAGAACGUAGCGAAAUGCGAUAAGUAAUGUGAAUUGCAGAAUUCAGUGAAUCAUCGAAUCUUUGAACGCACAUUGCGCCCGGCAGUACUCUGCCGGGCAUGCCUGUUCGAGCGUCAUUUCAACCCUCAAGCCCUGCUUGGUGUUGGGGCCCCACGGCUGCCGUGGGCCCUGAAAGGAAGUGGUGGGCUCGCUACAACUCCGAGCGUAGUAAUUCAUUAUCUCGCUUAGGGCGUUGGGCGGCGCUCCAGCCGUUAAAGAACCAUCUUUAACUCAAGGUUGACCUCGGAUCAGGUAGGAAUACCCGCUGAACUUAAGCAUAUCAAUAAGCGGAGGA
rnacentral:misc_RNA from 1 species